UNUAUGUUGAGCCUCAGCUGUUCUUGCAC
rnacentral:piRNA from 1 species